rnacentral:lncRNA from 1 species
UAAAACAUUCGACGGUACUUUAACGACCCGACCCGACCCGACCCGACCCGUCAGCAAUAAUAACUCGUUAGGUCAAAACUAUCGGCCAAAAAUACUUAAGCCCAGUCAUUAUUACUAGAAUGAAAUUUUCUUAUAUACUCAAUGAUAAUCCAUUCCUAUCCGAUAUGGGACUAUUAGGAUGUCACAGAUUCAUUGCAUUUUGAGACUUGUAAAUAUCGACGUCAUAACAACCAAAU